UACGGGGGGAGCAAGCGUUGUUCGGAUUUACUGGGCGUAAAGGGCUCGUAGGCGGCCAACUAAGUCAGACGUGAAAUCCCUCGGCUUAACCGGGGAACUGCGUCUGAUACUGGAUGGCUUGAGGUUGGGAGAGGGAUGCGGAAUUCCAGGUGUAGCGGUGAAAUGCGUAGAUAUCUGGAGGAACACCGGUGGCGAAGGCGGCAUCCUGGACCAAUUCUGACGCUGAGUGAGCGAAAGCCAGGGGAGCAAACGGG
rnacentral:rRNA from 1 species